rnacentral:rRNA from 1 species
CCCUUAGAUGUUCUGGGCUGCACGCGCGCUACACUGACAUGUCCAGCGAGCUCCCAACCUGCUCGGCAAAGAAUGGGUACCCUUUUUAACGCAUGUCGUGAUGGGGAUAGAUUAUUGCAAUUGUUGAUCUUGAACGAGGAAUUCCUAGUAAGUGCAAGUCAUUAGCUUGUGCUGAAUACGUCCCUGCCCUUUGUACACACCGCCCGUCGCUCCUACCGAUUGAGUGCUCCGGUGAGGCUUUGGGAUCUGAGCGGAAAGAGCGUUUCGCUGUUUCUGCUCGGAAAACUCAGUCGAACCUUAUCAUUUAGAGGAAGGAGAAGUCGUAACA